rnacentral:rRNA from 1 species
AUGUUAUUUGCACCAAAAAUUCUUAAAUAUUCAGAAAAAAUCGUAUCAAAUUUUUCGGGCAUUCUGAGAACUUUUAUUUUUUUUGUCAUUUUCUUAUUCCACGGGGAAUUCAAAAAAUAG